rnacentral:rRNA from 1 species
AAAGCAUGGGUAGCGAAGAGGAUUAGAUACCCUCGUAGUCCAUGCCGUAAACGAUGUGUGUUAGACGUUGGAAAUUUAUUUUCAGUGUCGCAGGGAAACCGAUAAACACACCGCCUGGGGAGUACGACCGCAAGGUUAAAACUCAAAUGAAUUGACGGGGACCCGCACAAGUAGUGGAGCAUGUGGUUUAAUUCGAAGAUACGCGCAGAACCUUACCAACACUUGACAUGUUCGUCGCGACUCUAAGAGAUUAGAGUUUUCGGUUCGGCCGGACGAAACACAGGUGCUGCAUGGCUGUCGUCAGCUCGUGUCGUGAGAUGUUGGGUUAAGUCCCGCAACGAGCGCAACCCUCACUUUUAGUUGCCAUCAUUAAGUUGGGCACUCUGAAAGAACUGCCAGUGAUAAGCUGGAGGAAGGUGGGGAUGACGUCAAGUCCUCAUGGCCCUUACGUGUUGGGCUACACACGUGCUACAAUGGUAUCUACAACAGGAAGCAAGACUGCGAAGUUAAGCAAAUCCCUAAAAGAUACCUCAGUUCGGAUUGCACUCUGCAACUCGAGUGCAUGAAGCUGGAAUUACUAGUAAUCGUGGAUCAGCGUGCCACGGUGAAUGCGUUCCCGGGUCUUGUACACACCGCCCGUCACACCAUGGGAGUUGGUUCUACCUUAAGGCAAGGUUUCAAACCCUUGACCACGGUAUAGUCAGCGACUGGGGUGAAGUCGUAACAAGGUAGCCGUAGGGGAACCUGCGGCUG